rfam:Oryza nivara chromosome 5, whole genome shotgun sequence.
AAUAAGUGUAGUUUUGCAUUGUUGAUGUACAAUGUUUGAUCGUUCGUCUUAUUUGAAAACUUUUUAUGUUUAAUAUUUUUUUAUUGUUAGUAGAUAAAAUAUGAAUAGUACUUUAUGUGUGACUAAGUUUUUUAAAAGAAUUUCAUAAAUUUUUUAAAUAAGACGGAUGAUCAAACAUUAUAUACGGAUAUCCACGGCUAUAUUUAUU